rnacentral:snRNA from 1 species
UGCUCACUAGACAGCAAUAUACUAAAUUGGAACAAUAUAGAGAUUACAGCUCCUGCCCAAGGAUGACACCCAAAUUUUUGGAAAUUCUUAUAUUCUU